rnacentral:rRNA from 1 species
GAUGAACGCUGGCGGCGUGCCUAAUACAUGCAAGUCGAGCGAACGGACGAGAAGCUUGCUUUUCUGAUGUUAGCGGCGGACGGGUGAGUAACACGUGGAUAACCUACCUAUAAGACUGGGAUAACUUCGGGAAACCGGAGCUAAUACCGGAUAAUAUUUUGAACCGCAUGGUUCAAAAGUGAAAGACGGUCUUGCUGUCACUUAUAGAUGGAUCCGCGCUGCAUUAGCUAGUUGGUAAGGUAACGGCUUACCAAGGCAACGAUGCAUAGCCGACCUGAGAGGGUGAUCGGCCACACUGGAACUGAGACACGGUCCAAACUCCUACGGGAGGCAGCAGUGGGGAAUCUUCCGCAAUGGGCGAAAGCCUGACGGAGCAACGCCGCGUGAGUGAUGAAGGUCUUCGGAUCGUAAAGCCCUGUUAUUAGGGAAGAACAGAUGUGUAAGUAACUGUGCACAUCUUGACGGUACCUAAUCAGAAAGCCACGGCUAACUACGUG